UGGGGACUUAUGACCAAUACAGAAAUAGAAAAGGUUGUGGGGCAGGGAUUUGAUCAUUACUGUUCUCAGCAAAGAGGGCCAGGAUCAGCUAUAGUUUCUUCCCACUGGCUGUCUCCCAGUUGUGGUAGCAGUGGCAGGAGCUGCAGGAACAGAGUGUUGCUAGGAGGCCUUGUUCAUUAUGAUAACUCUUAUUUUACUGACUAUUAUCCUAUUCUCAUGUCCCUAAUAGUCUCCCUUAUCCACAGGACUGAGAUAGAGUCAUCUCAGGUACUCAUGGAUCCUAAGUGUUCAAACAGCAGGGGGGAAGGCCGAGAAUUAAAGGACCAGGAAAGGCUUCCCGGCGCUGAGAUUUGACGGAAACCAGGAGCCAGAAAGGAGGGCGACGGUGUGUCGAGCUGGGGGACUUUUCUGCCUCUGUUAGCAGACAAGUGACUGACUUUGACGACUACAGGGCCGUGGCCAUGGACCUCGUGGGGGAAUCCCAGGAACUGCCCGGGGGAAGCAGAAGACCAGGCAUUCCAGGUAGAGAGGUCAGAGGCCCUAGAGGUGGGAACACCAGCGGGAACGCGCGGGGGGAACCAAGUUAGUCUCCAGUGUCUCCAUCCCCAAGAGACAGAGGGCUAGGACGGGGCUUUCCAGAGCAUGCGUAAAAACCGCCACUGGCUUCCAAACUAUAUUUCCCAGCAGCCCUUGUUCAUAACGGGAGGAAAACCAAACGUUAUCCCCGCCUGACUUCCGGUCAGGGUCCUUCUCGCACCGGAAGUUGGACGUUUUUGUCCGCCAUCGUGGGCUUCUGGUUUCCGCUCAAGCCCCAGUUUGACUGGGUGGCGGCUCCUGGCUGAAGGGACGUCAGCCAGAGAGCGGACCAGGAGGUAGGGCCGGGCGAGCGUCGGGCGCCAUGCUGCUCUGCCGAGGGGAAAGAAAGCAGGGCUGUGCUACGCCACGCCCCCAGUCGCCACGCCCACAUCACCACGCCCCCUAGUCGCCACGCCCCCAUCACCACGCCCCCUCCGAGAGCUGCCGAGCCAUUGGAGAGGGCGGGGACGAAGCUAGAACCGCUCUGCCUUAGCUCCUCUUGAAUCCCAAGCCCGCGUUUUCCUCGCCUGGCAUCGUCAAUCAACCAGCGUCAGUCGAGUAACCACGAUAUACCAGACCUUGAGGCUGAAAAAACAGAAGUAAAAGGCACCCCCUGCUGGGUUCACGGUGACCACAGCCGCUUAAACCCGGAUCUACCCGACUCCAGGUCACCUCUCUCGUAUUCAUUUCACAAGCAUUUAUGAAGUGCCAACUGUAUGCUAGGCUCCGGGGACAGAGAAACCAAACAGCUCCGGCCCACGGGGCGGGGGCUUACAUUCUAAGGUGGGGGUGGACACAAAUAGAACAAGUAAAUUCAAAAUGAAUAGAAAGUGAUGGGGGUUGGUACUGAGAAUACCUGGAGGGGCCGCUAGGGGGCGCAGAGCACGAGCUCUGAAGUCAGGAGGACCUGAGUUCAAAUCUAGCCUCAGACACACGUCCUAGCUGUUUGACUCUAGGCAAGUCACUUAACCCCAAUGGCCUCAGCGAAAAAGAAGAAAGAAAAGAAAAGAAUACCUGGAGCAUCGGGACGGGUGACCCUUGACCUCUGCUGGACCCCCCAGGUAGCCGGCAUUGACUUCUCUGCCCUGAGAGCUUCUAGUAGCGCCGGCGCCGCCAGUGCCCCGCUCGCAGUAAUGGCUGGAAUCAAUCCUGGGAGCGCUCUUGGGCGAGCAGGAAUGGCCCGAAGAUCUGGCCGGGGGCGGGCAGGGUGAGACCCCGUAAGCCGCGUCAGCCACCCUCCGGGCUCUCUCCCCAGCACUCUGGGCCUUGGGAGGAGCGCUCUCUUCUCUAAGAGAUGGCGCGUGGGGAUGGGGGAGGGGAGAAAAUGGCCCCGGGGCUGCCCAGGUAAAUGGGCGUGUCCUCCUCAGAGAAAAGCCUAGUUCUAUCAUGUUCCACCUCCCCCCCCCCCCCCCCCCCCCCCCCCCCCCCCCCCCCCCCCCCCCCCCCCGCCCAAAUCGGGGUCAUCCUCUUAUCGGAGCUACACCGUUGGGGGCACUUGGGGAGGCUUCUCUCUUUGCCUUGUCUCGAACCCUCGGGCAAUCCGUGAAGCCCUUAGAAUCACAGAAGAGCCUUUGUCAUGUUGAAAUCGCCAGCAAUCCUUUGUGGGCCUCUAUGUUUUAUGUGGAAAGGCAGUUAUCGAGGUUUUGUUAAAACGGAGGCCAUGGAACUCAGGUGAAGAGCUCCGACCUGAACCCCUCAUUUUGCAAGGAAGAGAAAUUCAAUGCCUGUUAAUUAAAAAAAAAUGUACUGCCAGUGAUGUACUAGAAGUAAUACUUGAUUAUUUUAUAAUAGUUUUUUAUUUUCCAAAAUACCUGCAGAGAUAAGAUUCAACAUUCACCCUUGCAAAACUGCUCUUAUUUUUUCUCCCUUUCUAUCCACCUUCCCCCUCCUCUAGACAGCCAGUAAUUCAAUACAGGUUAAACAUGUGCAAGGCUUCUAAACAUAUUUCCACAAUGAUCACGCUGCACAAGAAAAAUCAGAUCAAAAAGGAAGAAAUGAGAAAGGAAAAAAAAGCAACAACAACAAAAAAGGUGAAAAUGCUAUGUUGUGAUUCCCGUUCAGGCCCCAUAAUCCUCUCUCCCGAGGCAGACGGCUUGACUAUUCAUGGAGAAUAGGGAUAGUCUCCUCUCUGAUUAGAAAUCAAUAUUUGGCAAGUGCAGGGAAUCUCCUGACUCAAGUCUAGGGCUAUUUUCCUCAAAAAUGGGCAAUUAGGAGAUGCCAUAGUAGGCCGAGCACCAGGUCAGAAGUAGGCUCAAGUCUGACUUCAGGCACUGUGGACCCUGGACGUGGCUUAGACACAGGGGAUAGAAUGAGGCAGGGAUGGAGUCAGGGUGCUGAGAGUGGGAAAGGGACUCUUGACAGGGUGGGGUGAGCCACUGGAGAUGGGGAUGAUAUAAUGGGGGGAGGCACCCUGGAGAUGGGGAAAGGCAUCUUGAUAAGACGGUAUCUGAUAUUCUAAUAGCUUGGGAUGAGGAGAGGCAUUCUGAUAUUCUAAAAUAUAAGAUCUUUUACCCUUAUCAAAUAUUCUCAUUAAGAAGGAG
ensembl:lncRNA